GAGCAGAAGGAAGGGAGAGGAGUGAAGUGGUGGGGGAAGUCGGAACGGCCGAUGAUUAUUAGCUGACUUCAGUAUGCUCCAAUGUUCGAAAUUUUGGUUAUAAUGGGUAGUAAUUUAUUUUUUUCUUGAAUACGGAUGCACGAGGCAUCGUUCGCGCUUAUCCGUGACGGUAUCCGCGGUAAAUGAGAUCCGUGGCGCGCCCGACGUAGUAUGCAUCUCCAUUCGACGAGUCACCUGCAGGCUCUCUCUGUUUAAUUGGCCUACAUAACCGCACUGACAAUUAUGAACUUGCAAACGCUUUUUCAGGACUUCAAUCCGAGCAAAUUUCUGGUACACACAUGUCUGAUGAUAUUCACGUCUCUGUUCGCCCUUCGACUGGACGGUUUUAUCGAAUGGAGUUACUGGUCAAUAUUCAGUCCGAUAUGGUUCUGGAAAGGCAUGGUGAUCUUGGGAGCGAUAGUCGGCAGCUAUGUCUGGUGGAGGCAUCCCCAUGCGAGAUUGGAGGGAGAUGCUUAUGUGCAUUACAAAGCAAUGCUGAUCACUCUGGCGUUGCACCUGAUCCUGUUAAUGUUCGAGCUAUUGGUGUGCGAUAAAUUAGAAUCUGAAAGACAUUUAUGGAUACUGGUAUUCAUACCCUUGAUUUUCAUCUCGAUAGUAUCGAUUGCGGUUUGCAUUUGGGCGGUGAAACACGAUCGGUCAUUCGAGUUGGAACUGUUCUGCGCAGUUAACGUUUUGCAAUUCAUCUUUCUGGCUUUAAGAUUGGAUGGCUUUAUAACGUGGAGUUGGGAAGUUGUGUUCGUGCCGCUAUGGGCACUUCUUUGCUUAUCCUUAGUAGCUGUUUUGUAUGCGAUAGUAUUCGCCGCUGUUUUAUUGAGAACGCCGCAGAUCAACGCCCGCCAGAGGCGGACUUCUUUGCACUCCGCCGUGGCGUACACGUUUCUCGUUGUUCCCAUUUUAGUGUUCCAGGUGCUGCUAGCGAAUAAAUUAGACGGAGAUAUUUCAAUAAAUUAUAUAACAGUGGCAAUGCCACUUCUCCUGUCACACAUGACUCUCAUUUUUAUGUCCUUUGGUGCAAAGGGCGGAAACAAAUGGUGGUUUGGUAUCAGAAAAGACUUUUGUCACUUCCUGCUAGGUUUGUGUCCGUUGCUUCAAGAAUAUGGUAAUAUUUCUUAUCAGCCAAGGGAUGAGCGAGAUCAGCCACCGUCCGAGCCAAUGAUUACAGAAAAGAGCGAGAAACUUAUUAAAAAAAUCGACCUAAUGAAACCUGUUGUGCCUAUAAUCUCUAUAGACAUGCCUGACUGAUUGGCUCAAAACAGGGGUUAGCUCGGAUAUUUUUUAAUUGUUAUUUUUAAUGCAACUGACUUAUACAGAGGCCAAACGUUUACUAUAAAAUAGUCAGGCCUUUUAAGCAGAAAUUGAAUUUCACGGAUAUACAUGUCGGCUGGGAUACAAGACUGAGCACCUCGCAUCUCUAGAGUAGCAUUAUGUCAGAACGCGUUAAAGAAUGAAGAAAAGAGAACAACUAAAUAAAUUAGAAGAAUGAUGUUGCUGUUAAUGUUGCUGGACAUCGUAAUGUUAAAUACCCAAUCAUUUAUUAUAGUAUAAUGUAGAAAUAAUGUAUAUACAGACUGUUAUGUACCAUAAUAAUAUUACAUAUAAUGGCUAUUAAAUAUUAUACAUGUCUACCAUGUGCAACAUUGGUAGACAAGUGCUAGUAACGUUACAUUAUUUUAUAUAUAUAUUACAUAAAAAAUUACUAUUAUAAUCUAAUAAAGUUUCUAUUUUUUGGUAUCAACAGCAACGAUUAAUUAAUUUUCUGUGAUUUCUGUUAAUUUAACAUACGGAACGAUAUCGUGGAAUAUAUUAAAACUAUUUCAAAUUUUUAAUAAUACUAUCCAACAACUUCACCGCAAAUGUUAUAAGCGUUAUAAAAACGAAUACAUUGAAUUCUGUGUUCGAUACUACAAAAACUUUGUAAGUUAUCA